rnacentral:rRNA from 1 species
GACGAACGCUGGCGGCGUGCUUAACACAUGCAAGUCGAACGCUGAAGGCCCAGCUUGCUGGGUUGGAUGAGUGGCGAACGGGUGAGUAACACGUGAGUAACCUGCCCCCUUCUUUGGGAUAACGGUCGGAAACGGCUGCUAAUACCGGGUAUUCACUGUCCUUCGCAUGGGGGGUGGUGGAAAGGUUUUUUCUGGUGGGGGAUGGGCUCGCGGCCUAUCAGCUUGUUGGUGGGGUGAUGGCUUACCAAGGCUUUGACGGGUAACCGGCCUGAGAGGGUGACCGGUCACAUUGGGACUGAGAUACGGCCCAGACUCCUACGGGAGGCAGCAGUGGGGAAUAUUGCACAAUGGGCGAAAGCCUGAUGCAGCGACGCCGCGUGAGGGAUGACGGCCUUCGGGUUGUAAACCUCUUUCGCUCAUGGUCAAGCCGCAGCUUUGGGUUGUGGUGAGGGUAGUGGGUAAAGAAGCGCCGGCUAACUACGUGCCAGCAGCCGCGGUAAUACGUAGGGCGCGAGCGUUGUCCGGAAUUAUUGGGCGUAAAGGGCUUGUAGGCGGUUGGUCGCGUCUGCCGUGAAAUCCUCUGGCUUAACUGGGGGCGUGCGGUGGGUACGGGCUGACUUGAGUGCGGUAGGGGAGACUGGAACUCCUGGUGUAGCGGUGGAAUGCGCAGAUAUCAGGAAGAACACCGGUGGCGAAGGCGGGUCUCUGGGCCGUUACUGACGCUGAGGAGCGAAAGCGUGGGGAGCGAACAGG